rnacentral:rRNA from 1 species
UACGUAGGGGGCAAGCGUUGUCCGGAAUCAUUGGGCGUAAAGCGCGUGUAGGCGGUCCGGUAAGUCCGCUGUGAAAGUCGGGGGCUCAACCCUCGGAUGCCGGUGGAUACUGUCGGGCUUGAGUACGGAAGAGGCGAGUGGAAUUCCUGGUGUAGCGGUGAAAUGCGCAGAUAUCAGGAGGAACACCAAUUGCGAAGGCAGCUCGCUGGGACGUUACUGACGCUGAGAUGCGAAAGCGUGGGGAGCAAACAGG